GACGUAGGGCGCGAGCGUUGUCCGGAUUUAUUGGGCGUAAAGAGCUCGUAGGCGGCUUGUCGCGUCGACUGUGAAAUCCCGCGGCUCAACUGCGGGUCUGCAGUCGAUACGGGCAGGCUAGAGUUCGGUAGGGGAGACUGGAAUUCCUGGUGUAGCGGUGAAAUGCGUAGAUAUCUGGAGGAACACCGGUGGCGAAGGCGGCAUCCUGGACCGGUAUUGACGCUGAGGCGCGAAAGCCAGGGGAGCAAAGCGGGG
rnacentral:rRNA from 1 species